CGGCACGUCGGAUGUCCUCUCAGUUCCUCGGUCGGUGUGGUGUCUCCUCCGCGGUACACUGUCCGGUCCUGGUCGUCCAGAAAACAGGCAGCAGGAUAUGAUCUUACUGCUGGCCUCGAUGGGGGAAGAUUUAGUGCUGCCCCUCUUGGAUAUGAGGUGAUGAAACCUUAAGGACAGCUUGGUGUCCUCUCUGGCCUUCAACACUGCAGCGUGAUGUGUCCUCCCAGGAUGCAGCAGGAGAGGCUGUCCUCCCAGGAUGCAGCAGGGCGUCACAGCAGAGAAUCCUGAGAUGUGAAGAAGAGUGACUCCAUCUUUUCCCUGUGGCUGUGAUGGCACAACAAUCCUGAGUAAAGAAUCCUGAGACUCCAGAACUAAAAGCAGUAGGUGUCCUCCCAGGAUGCAGCAGGAGAGGCUGUCCUCCCAGGAUGCAGCAGGGUGUCACAGCAGAGAAUCCUGAGAUGUGAAGAAGAGUGACUCCAUCUUUUCCCUAUUGCUGCUCGACAGCUGAUCUGGUGACAGCAUUGCACAUAGUGGCAAAUACCUUUACAGCUGUUGUGUCCACUGCAACAGAAUGUCUACUUACUGAAAUAAACAACUAUUACUCUCA